rnacentral:rRNA from 1 species
AUGGACGAACAAGGCCCCGCAGCAAAGCCCAUGGGCAUGGCCAUCAAGUUCUCUAGCUGCCGUGGCGUCGCCUUCGAGAUCAAGCCCUCGCCGGCAAGCCCCUUUGCUCUAGACACUGCCGCUAGUCCUUCCGACUCGCCGCCCGCCGAAUCCGGCGGCGGCCGAUGGGUGUGGUUCCCUCAGCCUUUCAACCGUAAUUACUCCACCACGAGCUUUCUCACGGCGCGCAGCCGUGCGAGCACCCACUUCUGCGACCUCGACGACAUCAGCGAUGGCGACACGGACGAUGAGUCUGUCGCUACGGACGAGGAGAUGUCCCUCACCGCCGCUGACGUUUCUCGCGUGCAGAGCAGGAGAUCCAACGCGCCGGCUAAGCCUGUGAGGGCGGCGGCUGGGCACUCCAGGCUCGGCGUCAUACUGCUCGACCAAGGCUUGUUCACCGUUUACAAGCGACUCUUCAUGCUCUGCAUCGCGCUGAAUGCGGCGGGGCUCGCUGCCGCGGCAACCGGCCGCUUCCCUUACGCCAAGCGCCACGCCGCCGUCUUCGCCAUCGGGAAUAUACUGGCGCUCACGCUGUGCCGCUCCGAGGCGGUGCUCCGGGGAGUCUUCUGGCUCACCGUCGCGCUCCUCGGCCGGCCAUGGGUGCCGGUCGCCGUAAAGACCGGCGUUACGGCUAUCCUCCAGUCCCUCGGCGGUGUCCACAGCGGCUGCGGCAUGUCCUCGCUGGCGUGGCUGGUAUACGCGCUCGUGCAGGCGCUCGAGCUCCGCGGCGUGACGCCACCCGAGAUCGUGAGCGUCGCGUCCGCAAUACUCGGCCUGGUUGCACUCUCGUGCCUCGCGGCAUUUCCGCUCGUGCGCCACCUCCAUCACAACGUGUUCGAGCGUACGCACCGAUUCGCUGGCUGGAGCGCGCUCGCACUGCUCUGGGCUUUCGUCAUGCUCACUGCUGGCUACAACCCGGCAAUCAGAUCUUACCACAGGCUGACCGUCGCCUCCCUGGCUAAGCGCCAAGAGCUAUGGCUGACGGCCGCCAUCACCUUCUUCACCUUCCUCCCGUGGCUCACCGUGCGCCGCGUGCCGGUCACGGUCACCGCGCCGUCUACCCGCGCGUCCAUCAUAACCUUCCAAGGCGGCGUCAAGGCCGGCCUGCUCGGUCGCAUCAGCCGCUCGCCGCUCUCCGAGUGGCACGCCUUCGGCAUCAUCUCCGACGACAGGGACACUCACGCCAUGCUCGCUGGCGCAGUGGGAGACUUCACCCGGGGCCUCGUCUCCGACCCGCCCAGCCACCUUUGGGUACGUACAGUCCACUUCGCCGGGCUGCCCUACCUCAUCAGCAUGUACCAGAGAGUCACCAUGGUCGCGACCGGCUCCGGCAUAUGCGUGUUCCUGUCGUUCCUUAUGCAACCAAGUUGGGCGGAGGUAUCUCUGGUCUGGGUGGCCAAGGACAUCGACGCCAACUACGGCGACGGGAUAAGAGCCAUGGUGACGAGCAACGAGAACCUUGGAGAGCGUGUGAUCGUGCACGACACGAUGACCAUGGGGCGUCCGGAUGUCUCGGAGCUGGCCGUUGGCGCGGCACGACAGUGGAACGCGGAGGCGGUGGUGGUGACGAGCAACCCGGAGGGGAGCAGGGACGUCGUGAGGAGAUGCAAGAAGGCCGGCAUCCCGGCGUUUGGUCCUAUCUGGGACUCUUGA